CAAGAUUCUAAAGUAUGAACGUUUUCAAUGGGUUUUUGAAAUAAAUGCAUUACUGUCUAUAUUGACAAUGCGCCUUUAGAAAUGUGUUAUGACGGAUACGUUUCGAAAAUAAAUAUAUUUCAGGAUCGGGAAAUCAACAAACUAAAACAGAUGGAGUGAGCGUUGGCCUUACAAUUGCUGCGGCAUUCAUAGGAUUUCUAGCUGGAAUAAUCGUUUGUUUGAUUGGCUCGUAUAUUUGGAAACGGCGAUGGACAACGAACAAAGACGAGCAAGUCAGGGACAGACAGCGUACGAACUAUUGGAAACUUCGACUGCCCAACAAGAUCUGAACGCACGCAUACACGAGUAAUUCCAAAAAGAAACAGCUAAAAGAUUGGCGUUAAAAGUAAAAAAAAUACACAAUAAAGUGCUCACAAUUUAAAACAACAAAAUGCCAUAUAAAGUUGGAGUUCACGUUAUUUUUGUGAAUGUGCACUUUCUGCUUAUUGUUCUAAGUUUGGAAUACACACUAAGUAAGAUCUGAAUAUGAUGCAAUCACUAUGAAUAUGUGCCAGCGUCAUGUCUUUGAGCCUACUCAUCUUCUUCUGGAACUGGAAAGUGUAUAUUGUCUAUGUAUUUUCUAACACCACCGCCCAAUUGCAUGGUUUAUAAACCCCUUUAAGGAUAAGGUUUUCACAAAGUAAUUAUUUUAUAUGAUUCAAUACUUAACGUAUGCUAAUAUGAUAUGUUCGUGGCAACCAGAGUUCUUCAUGGAACCACAUUUUAUUGAAACAACCUGGAAGAGGACCAUCCAAGACCUAUUUCUGGUUGAAAUUGUCCCAGUGGUUAAGGAGUAGAAGUUGUUUGCAGAAAAAACGAACGACGGAUAAUUACCCUAUCACAUUAGCUCAUGCUGAGCACUUUGUGCUCUUGUAGGCUAAACCAUAACACUUUGUAUCUUUGUUAACAAAUUAAUUGGUAAAAAUGAUUGCUUAAUUCUCAAUGUUGUGUCGUGAGAUACAAAAACAGUUGUCUGCUACUUUCCGUGCAUGCGGGACGUUUUACGGCAAGACGAGGACGGCCAUCUUGGAAGAAAGUUCGGGACUGACAGAUUAAAACUGUUGAGAGAUAUUUGCUAUUCUGAUAGAAGUGCUUGAGUAAUAUGAGUGUGCUAUCAAUUGAGUAACAUUCAUUGUUAAUAUUGAAACACAUUAUCAAUAUACUAACAAGUAAUCCGUUUAUUUCUCAUUUUGUAUAUAAUAGAUGAUAAAGCUUUAUUUGAUACUGUAGUACAUUUUUUUAUUAUAUUAUU